rnacentral:rRNA from 1 species
AUUGAACGCUGGCGGCAGGCCUAACACAUGCAAGUCGAGCGGUAACAGGAAGUGCUUGCACUUCGCUGACGAGCGGCGGACGGGUGAGUAAUGCUUGGGGAUCUGCCUUUAGGCGGGGGAUAACUACUGGAAACGGUAGCUAAUACCGCAUGAAGUCUACGGACCAAAGAUAGCCUCUGUAUAUGCUAUCGCCUAGAGAUGAACCCAAGUGGGAUUAGGUAGUUGGUGAGGUAAAGGCUCACCAAGCCGACGAUCCCUAGCUGGUCUGAGAGGAUGAUCAGCCACACUGGAACUGAGACACGGUCCAGACUCCUACGGGAGGCAGCAGUGGGGAAUAUUGCACAAUGGGCGCAAGCCUGAUGCAGCCAUGCCGCGUG